CUGUUAACCUAGAAAAACGAGUGCUUUUUGUGGACAUUGGGGGGUCGUGAAGACUCUAUCAGUGAGUUUUUGUUCUCGGAAGGACUAGAUAUGUAGAUUGAAUAGUCAGACAUAGUACGAUAAGGUUGUAUGUCUAAAGGGAAACAGCCCAGAACAAGAGUUAAUAAGGUUCCAAAAUUAUUGUUAAGUGAAAUUAAGGUAGUAUUUAUUCCAAACAGCCAGGCAAUAGGCUUAGAAGCGGCCAUUUUCUGAAGACCUCGUAACAGAGCACUGGUUUUGUUUUAAGGAUAAAAGCACCGAUAAUUUAACGGAUCUAAACAAUAUACCGAUACCUUGUCUAAAUAUAUUAAUGUAUCUAUAUAUUACAUUGUAUAUUUGGGGUAGCAGAACAUUGGGGAGGUUUAUGAUUAUGCCUUUAUAAGGCAUAAUAUUUUUUUUAUAUUUAACAAGCCAAGCGAUAAUGCUGACAUGAGUAACGAUAAAGGGGAAUUCCCUCGCCUAAAGCUUAUGGAAUUUAAUUAAAGUUACGGCCUCUAAGUUUAUUAUAUAAUAAUCCCAAAAGGGGUAAACGAUGAGCAAAUCUAAGAUUUACAAAAAAUAACAUUUCGCAACAUAGUGACAAAUGUUCUGGAAAACUGUAAAUCUCGUUUGCUAAAUAGUAAUAAACUAAAUUAGAUGAUACGUUUAGCAAAUGUUAUACCGUACCUAAAUACUACCACAAGUAAGCAA
rnacentral:rRNA from 1 species